AAAAACUAGCUCCUGUAUUUGUUGAUCUUUUGAAGGGUUUUUUCUGUCUCAAUCUCCUUCACUUCAGCUCUGAUUGUGGUUAUUUCUUGCCUCUUCUAGCUUUGGGAUUUGUUUGCUCGUGGUUCUCUAAUUCUUUUAGUUGUGAUGUUAGUAUGUCUAUUUGAU